UGUGUUUCUAUCAGCCAAGAAGAUGACUGUGGAUCAGCACAUGCUGUUGCCUCACAUAACUGAACAGGUCCUGAAGUUGGAGUUUCCUGCUUUCCCUAAACCCAGAUGAUCAGCUGGAAGGCAGCUUCCCUGCCCUGGAUUUUUUGAUUUAAAUCAGCAAAAAAAGGACAUCCAGAACUUCUCCCCUGAUGUCUCAGUUUUACUGAAAAUGUCUCUCUCUACACAUUAACCAGGCUGCCUCCAUUAAAGCACAAUCAGGUUGAAAUCUGUGAGACUUCCAGAAGAGGAAAUUACUCCGAUGGUUACACUUGCUGCAUGUGGAGGAGCUGUAGAGCAAACCCAAAUUGUACCAAGUCAGCAGGCACUCUAAUGCUGUUACAUCUGCUCUUGUUUUCUUCUUUUCGGGACAAGAGUUAUAAUUUAUGCAAAAGGAGAGCAAUCAGAAGUCCCUAGAUUUGUAGAAGUAGUGUGAUAAGGCAGAUAAAGAAUGGUCUUAAGAUCCCAGAUACAAACUAAUGUGUAUUGAUUUUUAACAAAGUAAAAAUUAGAUGCAAUGCUGUUUUUCCAGUCUUUGUUACUGCGUCUUCCUAAGGAGAUAAAUUUAAAUUCAAGUGCGAAGAUAACUCAAGUGGAGAUUUCAGUUUGGUCUUGAGUAAUCCAGUGUUGGGGGAAUAUGAUGCUCUGUCGAUUAUUUGAAAUUGAAUCGAUUAUCUUACCAAACACACAAGGUAUUAUUUCAUCCUAGAAGACAAUACCAAAGUCAGAGGGAAUGUUUAUAUAUUGGAAAUGACCUGGUUUUUAAAGUGGAAACCAUUAGAGAAGAAAUUGAGGUUUCCUCAUAGGAUUUUAUGAUUCAAAACAACAAUUCAUGCCACAUAAACAAAAAUGCUUCCAGCCUGAGAACAUGUGUAUCAGUUUUGUAGAAUGAUGAUGCCAAAAUGGCAAAUGGCAAUAAAGAUUUAAAAUAGGAAUCAAUCUUAAAUUUUAUUUUCAUGUUACUAAUCAGAAAUUUUAUAGUAUGUAAAUGUCAUACAUAAUAAAAGGGAAUAUAAGAAAUUUCAGUAGAUGGAUCAUUCCAGAACAAUGCAAUUCAUAUAAAUAGUUUGUCUCAGCUAGAAAGAAUUCAGCAGCAUUCUUAGAAGAAUAUUUGUUCCGUGUAAAUCAAAUUGGACACAGAGAACUCAAAACAAAUUGGAUGCAGAGAACUAUAGCAUGGCUUGCUGCAUCCAUCUCAUUUCCCAGCACCCUGGGAUCCCUGAGCACUCUCCGUGUCUGGGGCAGUGCUCAGGCUGCAGAGCUGGCAGGCGCCCAAGGGGCUGCAUCCGACACGGAAUCUCUCCCUGACUGCACCCACUGGCAAGUCCUGUCUAGCAAGGCUCCUUCUCCGUGUCCUCUCCUCCCAGGGUCACACGAGGCCACAGGCAGCUGGCUCAGAACGGGCUUCUGCCUCACUUGACUGCAGCAGGAAAAAAGAACGGAGAGGUCCUCUCUGGUGCCUCACUCGUGCACGAGGAACCGGCUGCUCCUUCUGCUGUCACCUCGUGGCUUUGGGGGGAAGGUCUUGUUUACAUCCCUCCUUCAGCAAAUUUGCAGAUGACACUGAGCUGGGGGGGAGUGUUGAACAGCUGGAAGGCAGGAGGGCUCUGCAGAGGGACAUGGAUAGGUUGGAGAGUUGGGCUGAUUCCAACGGGAUGAGGUUCAACCAGGCCAAGUGUUGGGUCCUGCCCUUUGGCCACAACAACCCCCUGCAGUGCUACAGGCUGGGGCAGAGUGGCUGGAGAGCAGCCAGGCAGGAAGGGAUCUGGGAGUUUGGAUUGAUAGGAAGCUGAACAGGAGCCAGAGUGUGCCCAGGUGGCCAAGAGGGCCAAUGGAUCCUGGCCUGGCUCAGGAACAGGGUGGCCAACAGGUCCAAGGAAGUGAUUCCUCCCCUGGACUCAGCGCUGGUGAGGCCACCCCUGGAGUGCUGUGUCCAGUUCUGGGCCCUCAGCUCAGGAAGGACAUGGAGGGGCUGGAGCAGG